rnacentral:rRNA from 1 species
GAUGAACGCUGGCGGCGUGCCUAAUACAUGCAAGUAGAACGCUGAAGGAGGAGCUUGCUCUUUCCGGAUGAGUUGCGAACGGGUGAGUAACGCGUAGGUAACCUGCCUGGUAGCGGGGGAUAACUAUUGGAAACGAUAGCUAAUACCGCAUAACAGUAGAUAUUGCAUGAUAUUUGCUUGAAAGGGGCAAUUGCUCCACUACCAGAUGGACCUGCGUUGUAUUAGCUAGUUGGUGAGGUAACGGCUCACCAAGGCGACGAUACAUAGCCGACCUGAGAGGGUGAUCGGCCACACUGGGACUGAGACACGGCCCAGACUCCUACGGGAGGCAGCAGUAGGGAAUCUUCGGCAAUGGACGGAAGUCUGACCGAGCAACGCCGCGUGAGUGAAGAAGGUUUUCGGAUCGUAAAGCUCUGUUGUAAGAGAAGAACGAGUGUGAGAGUGGAAAGUUCACACUGUGACGGUAUCUGACCAGAAAGGGACGGCUAACUACGUG